rnacentral:rRNA from 1 species
UAUCUUGCGCAAUGGGCGAAAGCCUGACGCAGCCAUGCCGCGUGAAUGAUGAAGGUCUUAGGUUUGUAAAAUUCUUUCACCGGGGACGAUAAUGACGGUACCCGGAGAAGAAGCCCCAGCUAAGCUCGUGCCAGCCGCCGCGGUAAUACGAAGGGGGCUAGCGUUGCUCGGAAUUACUGGGCGUAAAGAGCGCGUAGGCGGACAUUUAAGUCAGGGGCGAAAUCCCAGAGCUCAACUCUGGAACUGCCUUUGAUACUGGGUGUCUUGAGUGAGAGAGAGGUAUGUGGAACUCCGAGUGUAGAGGUGAAAUUCGUAGAUAUUCGGAAGAACACCAGUGGCGAAGGCGACAUACUGGCUCAUUACUGACGCUGAGGCGCGAAAGCGUGGGGAGCAAACA